GCGCUCACUUCGGCAACACAUAUACUAACAAUGGAACGAUGGAGAGUUUAGGAUGGCCCCUGCACAAGGACAACAUGUACAUCUGUGAAGCAUUCCACAGUUUU
ensembl:snRNA U6 U6 spliceosomal RNA